GGGGUUGUGGCUCAGUGCUAGAGUGCUCGCCUGGCAUGUGCGAGGCCCUGGGUUCGAUCCUCAGGACCACA
rnacentral:tRNA from 1 species